GAACAAGGUGUUAGUACUUUUUUUCCUUCUGGACAUAAGAAGGAACAUUAAAAAUGGAAUCAAACUACUCAAACUAAUCACCUCCUAAAUACAGCCAGUCUGCUCAUGGCCAGUCUGAAGAUUGUGUCUGGAACAUCAAGGUGCAGCUCCCACCCAGCUGUGUAUCUCCUCACAGCAAAAGCAGCAUGCAGUGCCUGGUGGCUGGCCAAAUUUUGAACCAGAACGCAGCUGCCUUGUUAGAAGGGCUUCCACUCCAUUAAUCCCACCAAAACUAAACAGCAGUAGAAAUAGCAGAGAAAACUACACACAGCAGAUGUUCAGCAAGUCAUCAGUAAAAUUCUGGAAGACACUCAGGUAUUACAGUGAUGUAAACUCCACAGACUUCAAUGUCAUACAUGGAACCCCCUCCACAGCCUCUGCUUCUCUAUAG
rnacentral:lncRNA from 1 species